GAGGGUAUAGUUCAGUGGUAGAGUGCAUGCUUAGCAUGCACAAGGUCCUGGGUUCAAUCCCCAGUACCUCCA
rnacentral:tRNA from 1 species